AAGUCGUAACAAGGUCUCCGUUGGUGAACCAGCGGAGGGAUCAUUGCUGGAACGCGCCCCAGGCGCACCCAGAAACCCUUUGUGAACUUAUACCUUAGUGCUCGCGCGCUGUCGUCUGGCCGGCCUCACCCUCGGGUGUUGAGACGGCCCGCCGGCGGCCAACCUAACUCUUGUUUUUACACUGAAACUCUGAGAAUAAAACAUAAAUGAAUCAAAA
rnacentral:misc_RNA from 1 species